CCUACGGGAGGCAGCAGUGAGGAAUAUUGGUCAAUGGGCGCGAGCCUGAACCAGCCAAGCAGCGUGAAGGAUGACUGCCCUACGGGUGGUAAACUUCUUUUGUAAAGGAAUAAAGUGAGGCACGUGUGCCUUUUUGUAUGUACUUUAUGAAUAAGGAUCGGCUAACUCCGUGCCAGCAGCCGCGGUAAUACGGAGGAUCCGAGCGUUAUCCGGAUUGAUUGGGUUUAAAGGGAGCGUAGAUGGGUGGUUAAGUCAGUUGUGAAAGUCUGCGGCUGAACCGGAAAAUUGCAAUUGAUACUGGCAGUCUUGAGUACAGUUGAGGUAGGCGGAAUUCGUGGUGUAGCGGUGAAAUGCGUAGAUAUCACGAAGAACACCGAUUGCGAAGGCAGCUUACUAAACUGCCACUGACAUUGAUGCUCGAAAGUGUGGGUAUCAAACAGGAUUAGAUACCCUAGUAGUC
rnacentral:rRNA from 1 species